AACGCGAAGAACCUUACCUGGGCUUGACAUGUGGGUGACCGGUGUGGAAACACACCUUCCCUUCGGGGCACCCUCACAGGUGGUGCAUGGCUGUCGUCAGCUCGUGUCGUGAGAUGUUGGGUUAAGUCCCGCAACGAGCGCAACCCCCGUCGCAUGUUGCCAGCAUUUAGUUGGGGACUCAUGCGAGACUGCCGGUGACAAACCGGAGGAAGGUGGGGAUGACGUCAAGUCCUCAUGCCCCUUAUGUUCAGGGCUACACACGUGCUACAUUGGCGCAUACAGAGGGCUGCGAUACCGCGAGGUGGAGCGAAUCCCUUAAAGUGCGUCUCGGUUCGGAUUGCAGGCUGAAAUUCGCCUGCAUGAAGGCGGAGUUGCUAGUAAUCGCGGAUCAGCACUGCCGCGGUGAAUACGUUCCCGGGCCUUGUA
rnacentral:rRNA from 1 species